UUGAACGCUGGCGGCAGGCCUAACACAUGCAAGUCGAGCGGUAACACAGAGAGCUUGCUCUCGGGUGACGAGCGGCGGACGGGUGAGUAAUGUCUGGGAAACUGCCUGAUGGAGGGGGAUAACUACUGGAAACGGUAGCUAAUACCGCAUAACGUCGCAAGACCAAAGUGGGGGACCUUCGGGCCUCAUGCCAUCAGAUGUGCCCAGAUGGGAUUAGCUAGUAGGUGGGGUAACGGCUCACCUAGGCGACGAUCCCUAGCUGGUCUGAGAGGAUGACCAGCCACACUGGAACUGAGACACGGUCCAGACUCCUACGGGAGGCAGCAGUGGGGAAUAUUGCACAAUGGGCGCAAGCCUGAUGCAGCCAUGCCGCGUGUGUGAAGAAGGCCUUCGGGUUGUAAAGCACUUUCAGCGGGGAGGAAGGCGGUGAGGUUAAUAACCUCAUCGAUUGACGUUACCCGCAGAAGAAGCACCGGCUAACUCCGUGCCAGCAGCCGCGGUAAUACGGAGGGUGCAAGCGUUAAUCGGAAUUACUGGGCGUAAAGCGCACGCAGGCGGUCUGUCAAGUCGGAUGUGAAAUCCCCGGGCUCAACCUGGGAACUGCAUUCGAAACUGGCAGGCUAGAGUCUUGUAGAGGGGGGUAGAAUUCCAGGUGUAGCGGUGAAAUGCGUAGAGAUCUGGAGGAAUACCGGUGGCGAAGGCGGCCCCCUGGACAAAGACUGACGCUCAGGUGCGAAAGCGUGGGGAGCAAACAGGAUUAGAUACCCUGGUAGUCCACGCCGUAAACGAUGUCGAUUUGGAGGUUGUGCCCUUGAGGCGUGGCUUCCGGAGCUAACGCGUUAAAUCGACCGCCUGGGGAGUACGGCCGCAAGGUUAAAACUCAAAUGAAUUGACGGGGGCCCGCACAAGCGGUGGAGCAUGUGGUUUAAUUCGAUGCAACGCGAAGAACCUUACCAAGUCUUGACAUCCUCUUGACCGGUCAGUAAUGUGACCUUUUCUUCGGAACAAGAGUGACAGGUGGUGCAUGGUUGUCGUCAGCUCGUGUCGUGAGAUGUUGGGUUAAGUCCCGCAACGAGCGCAACCCUUAUCCUUUGUUGCCAGCGGUUAGGCCGGGAACUCAAAGGAGACUGCCAGUGAUAAACUGGAGGAAGGUGGGGAUGACGUCAAGUCAUCAUGGCCCUUACGACCAGGGCUACACACGUGCUACAAUGGCAUAUACAAAGAGAAGCGACCUCGCGAGAGCAAGCGGACCUCAUAAAGUAUGUCGUAGUCCGGAUUGGAGUCUGCAACUCGACUCCAUGAAGUCGGAAUCGCUAGUAAUCGUAGAUCAGAAUGCUACGGUGAAUACGUUCCCGGGCCUUGUACACACCGCCCGUCACACCAUGGGAGUGGGUUGCAAAAGAAGUAGGUAGCUUAACCUUCGGGAGGGCGCUUACCACUUUGUGAUUCAUGACUGGGGUG
rnacentral:rRNA from 1 species